AAUGAACGCUGGCGGCGUGCCUAACACAUGCAAGUCGAACGAGAAAGCCUGGCUUGCCAGGCAAGUAAAGUGGCGCACGGGUGAGUAACGCGUGGGUAAUCUACCUUUGUCUGGGGGAUAACAUACCGAAAGGUGUGCUAAUACCGCAUAACGUGAUCGGAUUGCGAUUUGAUCACCAAAGAAGGCCUCUCCCUGGAAGCUUUCGGGUAAAGAUGAGCCCGCGUCCCAUUAGCUAGUUGGUAAGGUAAGGCUUACCAAGGCAAUGACGGGUAGGGGACCUGAGAGGGUGGCCCCCCACAAUGGAACUGAAACACGGUCCAUACACCUACGGGAGGCAG
rnacentral:rRNA from 1 species